rnacentral:rRNA from 1 species
UAACAAGGUUUCCGUAGGUGAACCUGCGGAAGGAUCAUUACUGAGUGAGGGCCCUCUGGGUCCAACCUCCCACCCGUGUUUAUUGUACCUUGUUGCUUCGGUGCGCCCGCCUCACGGCCGCCGGGGGGCUUCUGCCCCCGGGUCCGCGCGCACCGGAGACACUAUUGAACUCUGUCUGAAGAUUGCAGUCUGAGCAUAAACUAAAUAAGUUAAAACUUUCAACAACGGAUCUCUUGGUUCCGGCAUCGAUGAAGAACGCAGCGAAAUGCGAUAACUAAUGUGAAUUGCAGAAUUCAGUGAAUCAUCGAGUCUUUGAACGCACAUUGCGCCCCCUGGUAUUCCGGGGGGCAUGCCUGUCCGAGCGUCAUUGCUGCCCUCAAGCACGGCUUGUGUGUUGGGCUCCGUCCCCCCGGGGACGGGUCCGAAAGGCAGCGGCGGCACCGAGUCCGGUCCUCGAGCGUAUGGGGCUUUGUCACCCGCUCUGUAGGCCCGGCCGGCGCCAGCCGACAACCAAUCAUCCUUUUUUCAGGUUGACCUCGGAUCAGGUAGGGAUACCCGCUGAACUUAAGC